AUCACUUCUUUAUUCUCUUUUUCUUUUUUCUUUUUCUCACAAACACACAAACGCUCCUCUCACUCCCUUACACUCUCCCACUAGUACCCACUCCACACCACCAUCUCCACCAUCAUUUUUCAGGCAAGAUCACUGGAAAAUCCUUACGAACCUCUAAGCAUCUUCAUCCCUUUUAUUUGAGUCUUUAUGACAAUGGUGUCAAAUCCAAGUCAUUAUCUUUUCACUUUGGAUGACACGUUCUUCCCCGCUGCCCAUAGGGGGAAGAGGUUCCUUGAUUGUGUGUGGGUGAGACUGCUACCCAUGGGGUCAAAAGACCACAAGCAAAAGAUUUCCUAUUUGACGCAUUCUCCCUAUUGCCCAUGAGAAAAGAGACAAAAUUUUGAGGGUAUAGGUGAAACUAUUGCCCAUGGAGCUAAGCGAUUACAUACCAGAAAUGACAAUAUCAUGCCAAUUGCGAAUGAGAGGCUCCCCUGACUGGUCUAUAUGAUCCAGCUACCAUCCAACACAAAAGCAGAUUUUGAUAAUGUGCUUGCUACACAAAAGCCUACUGUAAGUGAAGCUGACCUGAAAGUGUAUGAGAAAUUCACAGGGAGUAUGUGCUUUACGGUUAAGGGCUAAAAUGUAGAGGCACAAAUUAUUAUUUCUAUGGUUUCUCCCUAUUGUGUUUCUAAUUAUGGUUUUUUUUUUUUUUUUUUUGGUUCAAAGUAUUUGUUAUCCAUAUGCUAGCAGUGUUAUCAAUGUAUCUGGUUAGACAUGUGUCAGUUUGGUUAGAAGCUCUCCAGCCCUUUUGCUUUUUGUC